CGUCCUCCAUCUCUUCAAAAUUAACAAAUUCCAUCACUUGGGUCAGAAUCAAGAUAUAAAGAUGGUGGGAAAUGGAAGAAACCCGAAGCAAAAUUGGGAAAUUUGGGUCUGCUCCUUGAAUGCCUCAGAGAAAUUUAGUUGAAUUUAUCUGUGAAAUUGUUGUUUUUUGUUCCUAAUGUGCUAUUGAAAGCUCUGGAGGCAGAUCACCCAAUAAUCGACUCCAAUUUCCAGACAAACACAAAGUCAUCUUCUCUGCAGGUUCUUCUCUACCAGAAAGGAGAAUAUGGAGUGCCGGGUGGCAGGAAGAGGAGGAAGAGCUCGUCAUGUCAAUGCCAAAAAAGCCUAAUUGGGUACGGACACAUGGUGACCUGAGGAGAGGGAACCUUGCGUUCAAGCACUUUACUGAACUGGAAUUUGGAAACACAUUGGAGAAAAUGAAUUGGAGAUUACUCAUGGGAUGAGUUUCAUCAAAAUAGAUGGUGCCGUCCAUGAGGUUGUAGUGUGGACUAUUCAUCAUAGCAGGCACAAAGAAAUCUACAUUGGAAUUGGAACUCCAUUCUUUACUUUGGAAGAUUGCAAAACCGCUAAAAAUGGCAGUCCUCUCAUGGACAUGCUAUACUCUUGAUACGCAAAUGGGAUUUUAGCACAAAUUGAUAAGGGCAUUUACCAAUGCAACUGGAGAAAGACUCGUAAAAUAUUCGAUUCAUUCAUCAUUGUGGCAGAGAAAGUAACUAUAUAUUCACAAUUUAUUGAAAGAUUUGUUACAUGGUAGAAUUCUUACGUAAUCACAGUUAUAUAUAUAUAGAUAAUAUACAAUGAUAAAUGUAUUUACAGUUUCAGCGUGUUCCUUUCUCUGCUCUCUAUGGGAGGAGGUUAUCAGAAAGUUACUCACCCGUAGUGUCUGCAUAAGCUCAAUUCUGGACUUGUGCCGGAACUGGUUCAUGUGUCAAGCAUGCACGCACCAAGGACCAGGUUGCUCAACCCGCUGCCUGGAGAAAGCUGGAUAUGAUCGGAUAAUUAAUGUUCAAAGAGUGUAUGGAAAACUUGCAACAUGAAAGUUGUAAAUGGAUUGCAGGCUGUGUUUUUAACACAUUUCUUUAGACAUUUUGAUUUAAAUAACAUUAAACUCUUGAUGUUGUUUGAAA